CACUCCUCCGCCCACGCGCCCCUGCCUCCCUGUCGCCGCACCCCUCCUUUCCCAUCGCGCCGCUGCCUCCCCCGACGCCACACUACUACUCCUCGAAGCGCCGUCCCUGCCGCAGUCAAUCUCUAUCCAGGGGAAGGGGCUCCUGGAUCUGCGAGUUCACGGCGCACGCCCCUCGUCUGACACAUCCAUCCGAGAGGACCUCCUCUUCGCGAAAGGGGUCGUCGUCGCCGUGCCCCACCGCCCGUCCGGCGCCUCAAUGCAGCCGUCAUUGGCUGACCUCACUGUUCCCCACCGCCGGACCAUGCAUACUCGCCUGCCGCGCGCCUUCCUCACUGCCCGAACCGUCCCCGCUGCACGGAUCUGCGCCCACGUCAGGAUGACAACCCGGUGGAAAUCGGCGUUCCCGUCGCGCCCGAUGCCGCAGCGUCGACUGCUUCAAGAAGCUCGAGCAGAUCGGGGAGGGCACCUACCGGCAAGUAUUCUUGGCGAAGGAGACCGAGAGGAAGUAAAUGUGGCAGUCAAGAAGAUUCGCAUGGACAACAAGCGAGAGGGCGGCCAGUUCCCUAUCACAGGCAUCCAGGAGUUUAAAAUCCUCAAGAAGCUGCACCACCAGAACGUGAGCAACUGGUCAAUCUCAAAGAGAUCGUCACCUCGCCAGGGCCAGAGGGAGAUGAGCAGGGGAAGCACAGUAUGAUUCUAAACAAAACACCAUUGAAUGUUUGCUUUAUUGCUAAUCCAGAUGUGCUACUUAUUUUUUGUUUCAAGCAGUGUACUACUGUGAAUGUUUUUUCUGACUAAUAAAUCUCGAUUUUCGUUCAUAAUGAAUUUAUGUUCCAUUUAGAUGAAGAUUGCUUGGUUCAUUGCUUCGAGCAGAAAACAAAUGUUUUCAAUAGGCAUACAUACACAGUGCAUUGUUGGCCAAGAUAGACGGGAGCGGCAAGGCACACAUCAUUCUGUGCCGCGCCACGUGCUGAUGGGCCUUCCGGAGGUUGUCUAGGCAGGGUCCUUGCAGUCCCGCCCCAGCAGCGACUCCUACGACACCGCCGUCGACAAGAUGGAGAAUCGGCAUUGUCUGGAGCAAAGACAUGAACAUGAGGGUCUUCCCCGUGUACGUGGUGAGCUUCAAGUGCCAAACACUUGGAAAAGGUGGAGAUUCAGGAAUUAGAUUACCCUUCUCUCCAUUGUUGUCAUACUGUUCCUUGGUCAUCUACAGGAGUGGAGUUUGUCAGGGUCGGGCCUAAUCCCAAGUUUGUCCCAGUUGCUGGACUGUUCCAAGAACAGCAAGUCUCCAGGUAGGCAAUGCAAUCACCGACAACUACAAUGACAUCGGCUUUGGGCGCAGUUGAGCAUUGGCGAGGAAAUGGAUUGCUCAUACUUCAUACUGCUACCGCUGUCCUCAACACCCCUGCGACUCCGUGCGCUGACGGAGUACCUGGUUGGCUCCAGAAACAGAUGGGUAUGCUAGCAACCAUUGAAGGUUCAAACUUAAUACUGCUACCUGACAUAUCCUCCUUCCUACUGCUACAUACCUGUUGUUGUAAUUCUAAUUCUUGGCAAAAAAAAUGUUUUAUUAUAUGGCAAAAAUCAUGACAAUGGUUAUUGUUGGUGA